CCUACGGGGGGCAGCAGUGGGGAAUAUUGCACAAUGGGGGAAACCCUGAUGCAGCGACGCCGCGUGAGUGAAGAAGUAUUUCGGUACGUAAAGCUCUAUCAGCAGGGAAGAAAAUGACGGUACCUGACUAAGAAGCCCCGGCUAACUACGUGCCAGCAGCCGCGGUAAUACGUAGGGGGCAAGCGUUAUCCGGAUUGACUGGGUGUAAAGGGAGCGUAGAGGGCAACGAAAGUCUGAAGGGAAAUCCCAUGGCUUAACCAUGAAACUGCUUUUGAAACUGUGCAGCUAGAGUGCAGGAGAGGUAAGCGGAAUUCCUAGUGUAGCGGUGAAAUGCGUAGAUAUUAGGAGGAACACCAGUGGCGAAGGCGACUUACUGGACUGUAACUGACGUUGAGGCUCGAAAGCGUGGGGAGCAAACAGGAUUAGAUACCCCAGUAGUC
rnacentral:rRNA from 1 species